rnacentral:rRNA from 1 species
AUGAACGCUGGCGGCGUGCCUAAUACAUGCAAGUCGAGCGGACAGACGAGGAGCUUGCUCCUCUGACGUUAGCGGCGGACGGGUGAGUAACACGUGGAUAACCUACCUAUAAGACUGGGAUCACUUCGGGAAACCGGAGCUAAUACCGGAUAAUAUAUUGCACCGCAUGGUUCAAUAGUGAAAGACGGUUUUGCUGUCACUUAUAGAUGGAUCCGCGCCGCAUUAGCUAGUUGGUCAGGUAACGGCUUACCCAGGCAACGAUGCGUAGCCGACCUGAGAGGGGGAUCGGCCACACUGGAACUGAGACACGGUCCAGACUCCUACGGGAGGCAGCAGUAGGGAAUCUUCCGCAAUGGGCGAAAGCCUGACGGAGCAACGCCGAGUGAGUGAUGAAGGUCUUCGGAUCGUAAAACUCUGUUAUGAGGGAAGAACAAAUGUGUAAGUAACUAUGCACGUCUUGACGGUACCUAAUCAGAAAGCCACGGCUAACUACGUG